rnacentral:rRNA from 1 species
GACGAACGCUGGCGGUGUGCCUAAUACAUGCAAGUUGAGCGCUGAAGGUUGGUACUUGUACCGACUGGAUGAGCAGCGAACGGGUGAGUAACGCGUGGGGAAUCUGCCUUUGAGCGGGGGACAACAUUUGGAAACGAAUGCUAAUACCGCAUAAAAACUUUAAACACAAGUUUUAAGUUUGAAAGAUGCAAUUGCAUCACUCAAAGAUGAUCCCGCGUUGUAUUAGCUAGUUGGUGAGGUAAAGGCUCACCAAGGCGAUGAUACAUAGCCGACCUGAGAGGGUGAUCGGCCACAUUGGGACUGAGACACGGCCCAAACUCCUACGGGAGGCAGCAGUAGGGAAUCUUCGGCAAUGGACGAAAGUCUGACCGAGCAACGCCGCGUGAGUGAAGAAGGUUUUCGGAUCGUAAAACUCUGUUGGUAGAGAAGAACGUUGGUGAGAGUGGAAAGCUCAUCAAGUGGCGGUAACUACCCAGAAAGGGACGGCUAACCACGUG